GAUGAACGCUGGCGACGUGCCUAAUACAUGCAAGUAGAACGUUGAAGCUUGGUGCUUGCACCGAGCGGAUGAGUUGCGAACGGGUGAGUAACGCGUAGGUAACCUGCCUCUUAGCGGGGGAUAACUAUUGGAAACGAUAGCUAAUACCGCAUAAAAGUCGAUAUCGCAUGAUAUUGAUUUGAAAGGUGCAAUUGCAUCACUAAGAGAUGGACCUGCGUUGUAUUAGCUAGUUGGUGAGGUAACGGCUCACCAAGGCGACGAUACAUAGCCGACCUGAGAGGGUGAUCGGCCACACUGGGACUGAGACACGGCCCAGACUCCUACGGGAGGCAGCAGUAGGGAAUCUUCGGCAAUGGGGGCAACCCUGACCGAGCAACGCCGCGUGAGUGAAGAAGGUUUUCGGAUCGUAAAGCUCUGUUGUAAGAGAAGAACGAGUGUGAGAGUGGAAAGUUCACACUGUGACGGUAACUUACCAGAAAGAGACGGCUAACUACGUG
rnacentral:rRNA from 1 species